UUACCAUUUCCUCAAAGCCCCUAUCCCAAAAAUAGCUGUAAAUUAACACGGUGGAGUAAAUAUGUUGGGACAAAUAUUGCAUGAAACCAAAAAAAUUCAUAAUUUACCAUAAAAAUUCUUUUAAAAAAAAUCUGAGACCUUAAUUUUUUCGACAAUCCAAACACAACAGAGACAGAAGUAAUGUUUUAGUAUGGGCAUUUUUGUUGUUAGCAACGCUUUGUCAUGUAAACUUUUGCUACAAUGAUCUUCAUGGAUGUGUGAAACAGAGGCUGAUUUGGUAAACCUUUUUCAGGUAUCCCACGCCUCU